rnacentral:rRNA from 1 species
UACGGAGGGUGCAAGCGUUAUCCGGAUUCACUGGGUUUAAAGGGUGCGUAGGCGGGCAGGUAAGUCCGUGGUGAAAUCUCCAAGCUUAACUUGGAAACUGCCGUGGAUACUAUUUGUCUUGAAUAUAGUGGAGGUGAGCGGAAUAUGUCAUGUAGCGGUGAAAUGCGUAGAUAUCGGGAGGAACACCAGUGGCGAAGGCGGGCAUCUGGGCCAACACUGACGCUGAGGCGCGAAAGCUAGGGGAGCAAACAGG